rnacentral:rRNA from 1 species
UACAGGGGGUGCAAACGUUGCUCGGAAUCAUUGGGCGUAAAGCGCACGUAGGCGGUCUGUUAUGUCGGAUGUGAAAGCCCUUGGCUUAAACUGAGGAAGUGCAUCCGAAACUGGCAGGCUAGAGUACUAAAGAGGGUCGCGGAAUUCCCGGGUGUAGAGGUGAAAUUCGUAGAUAUCGGGGAGGAACACCGGUGGCGAAGGCGGCGACCUGGGGUAGAUACUGACGCUGAGGUGCGAAAGCGUGGGGGAGCAAACAGG